GAUGAAGAACGUAGUGAAAUGCGAUAAGUAAUGUGAAUUGCAGAAUUCAGUGAAUCAUCGAAUCUUUGAACGCACAUUGCGCCCGCCAGCACUCUGGCGGGCAUGCCUGUCCGAGCGUCAUUUCAACCCUCAGGCCCCCCGGGGACUGGUGUUGGGGAUCGGCCCGCCCUGGCGCGGCGCCGUCCCCGAAAUACAGUGGCGGUCUCGCUGCAGCCUCCCCUGCGUAGUAGCACACCUCGCAUUGGAGAGCGGCGCGGCCACGCCGUGAAACCCCAACUUCUGAUAGUUGACCUCGGAUCAGGUAGGAAUACCCGCUGAACUUAAGCAUAUCAAUAAGCGGAGGA
rnacentral:misc_RNA from 1 species